UUGGAGGGCAAGUCUGGUGCCAGCAGCCGCGGUAAUUCCAGCUCCAAUAGCGUAUAUUAAAGUUGUUGCAGUUAAAAAGCUCGUAGUUGAAUUUCGGGAUCAAUUUAUCGGUCGUGCCUACGGUAUGAACUGGUACAAUUGGUUUCUCCCUUCUGACGAAGCAUGAUGUCAUUAAUUUGGUGUUGUGGGGAGUCAGGACUGUUACUUUGAAAAAAUUAGAGUGUUUAAAGCAGGCCUACGCUUGAAUACAUUAGCAUGGAAUAAUGAAAUAGGACGUUCGAACCUAUUUUGUUGGUUUCUAGGAUCGACGUAAUGAUUAAUAGGGAUAGUUGGGGGCAUUAGUAUUCAAUUGUCAGAGGUGAAAUUCUUGGAUUUAUUGAAGACUAACUACUGCGAAAGCAUUUGCCAAGGAUGUUUUCAUUAAUCAAGAACGAAAGUUAGGGGAUCGAAGACGAUCAGAUACCGUCGUAGUCUUAACCAUAAACUAUGCCGACUAGGGAUCGGAUGAUGUUAAUUUUUUAAUGACUCAUUCGGCGCCUUACGGGAAAC
rnacentral:rRNA from 1 species